AGCUGCCGCAGCGCGCUGGGCGGGCGCCCGUCCAGGCCAGGGAGUGUCCUGGACUCGGGCUCAUCAUCCCGGGGCCGUGGGGAGUCUUUGGGCAUUCACGUCGUGUGGGGUUGAUGGAAUUUACCCAGACCAGCCCCGGGGGAAGGGACUCAAGGGAGCUGAGACCAUGAAGGAGAGCUGGGAGAGGGGUCCUCGCACUGCCCCCGGGGUGCUGCCCUCUGCAGGCCGGGAGCAUCCUCUCCGCAUCCCGAGGGCCUGGGCCCAGCAGGCAGUUCCCACCCACCCGACUGGGAGGACAGCCGUGUCUCACCCGUGUCCCUGAAUCACGCAACCCCGAGACCCCAGCGGGAACCCAAGGGGUGGAGAAGGCGGCUCGGCCACCUCUCACGCCAGCACGAGCCACGGCCGUAGUGCGCAGGCAGGCAGCACCAUCGAGGCUCCGGGGGCUCAGCCGUCGCAGCCUUCAGCGCAGAUGAAAUCCACACGACUGCAGAGCAAGAGGGGCUGGGGAUUCUUUCUUUCUGUGAGUGAUUAUUUUCCCCUCAAACGGUUGAAGACAGAGAGAACACAGGUUUCCAGGAGCCUGGAGAAAGAAUGGGGGUGGGAUAAUCAGUGAAGAGGAUGAGGGAAUUGUUGAGGAAAAGUGUGGAGGAAAUGGAGUUACGGACAACAGUGCCAGAGAUGGAGGAGGGAAACCGUGUGUAAGGGGUGUAGACCGAGUCGUGAGUUUCACGGAAACCGUAGUGGGCCGGCCCCGGAGAUUCCAGGGCAGACUACCCUGCUGGAUGAUGGCGCGAGUCUGCUGGCCCCUCAUCCCUCCGCACAGAAACUCGGGGGCUUGGGAAAGCCGUUAAUACCUUCAGCCUGCUAGGAGACAACAGUGCGUGGCGGUGACAUGUUCCUAAGCUCCUGACCUUGCACCCGGCAGAGAUUUAGGCUGGGGGAAAAUCUGACAAUUCAGCAUUUUUAGUAAUGCUCAGAAGUGAAACAGGAUUUGGCCACAAAGUGAUUUCUGAGGGUUGUCUGUUUUGUGUUUGGGUCACUAGUGGGCGGGUUUCUCUAACUUCGGGAACUUUCUUCCUGCCCCAUUCAGUGUUUUGGGGGCUGCAGCAGUGCUGUAGGGGUGGUACCUGGAAGACGGGGACAGCAGCUGGGAUCAGGAACCUGUCCCCAGCAGUCACACAGACCUGCACUAUCUCAGCGGACACUGGCUCUAUUCUGAUUCCCAAGGGAGCGGCAGCUUCAGCGGCGUUGUGCUCCCCUCAGGUCCAGCUCGGAGGUGCCUCAGGCACUUCCCCACCCAGCUUCCAGGAUGGGUGCUUCAAGGUUCAUGGAUCCUCUCCACGACGUUUUCAGCCCCACUUGGCUUCCCCAGCCAGGAAGGAAUGGCGUCUUCAGGCUGCAGCUGUGGGUGCUGUUUCCCAGGUAUGAGGAAAUCUACACCAAGCAAUGAAAUCCACUGAGGGGAAUGAAUGGACUCAGCUCUGGUACUCAGCAGCGUGUUGAAGGUCCUGUCACGAGAAGUCAUCCUGUGAUUUAGAAGUGACGAUGCCACAAUUGUUGGGGGAAAAUGGGAAUUUCCACCGUUACCCAGACAGGCAGCUUCCCCCCCCCGCCCCCCACAUGCCUGCUCCUCUGUGGGGACUACCAGUUAAUGCCCUCCUUGACCAGCCUGAGCCCAGCACAUUCCGGCCCAGGGACAUCUCAGUGGGAAAGAGAUUCUGGUCAUUUAGAAAAUUCAUGAUCCUGUGAUUCAGCUAAUUAAAUAAAUCUGGACAGAGAAGUUUCUUUAUUCA
rnacentral:lncRNA from 1 species